rnacentral:rRNA from 1 species
AUUGAACGCUGGCGGCAGGCUUAACACAUGCAAGUCGAGCGGAGAUGAGGUGCUUGCACCUUAUCUUAGCGGCGGACGGGUGAGUAAUGCUUAGGAAUCUGCCUAUUAGUGGGGGACAACAUUCCGAAAGGAAUGCUAAUACCGCAUACGUCCUACGGGAGAAAGCAGGGGAUCUUCGGACCUUGCGCUAAUAGAUGGGCCUAAGUCGGAUUAGCUAGUUGGUGGGGUAAAGGCCUACCAAGGCGACGAUCUGUAGCGGGUCUGAGAGGAUGAGCCGCCACACUGGGACUGAGACACGGCCCAGACUCCUACGGGAGGCAGCAGUGGGGAAUAUUGGACAAUGGGGGGAACCCUGAUCCAGCCAUGCCGCGUGUGUGAAGAAGGCCUUAUGGUUGUAAAGCACUUUAAGCGAGGAGGAGGCUACUGAGACUAAUACUCUUGGAUAGUGGACGUUACUCGCAGAAUAAGCACCGGCUAACUCUGUGCCAGCAGCCGCCGUAAUAC